GACGAACGCUGGCGGCGUGCUUAACACAUGCAAGUCGAACGGAUCACAUGAUUUCGGAUGUGUGGUGAGUGGCGAACGGGUUAGUAAAACGUGAGUAACCUGCCCCGGACCUUGGGAUAACGACUCGAAAGGGUUGCUAAUACCGGAUAUUGAACUGUUGCCGCAUGGUGGUGGUUUGAAAGUUUUUUCGGUUCGGGAUGGGCUCGCGGCCUAUCAGCUUGUUGGUGGGGUGAUGGCCUACCAAGGCGUCGACGGGUAGCCGGCCUGAGAGGGCGACCGGCCACACUGGGACUGAGAUACGGCCCAGACUCCUACGGGAGGCAGCAGUGGGGAAUAUUGCACAAUGGACGAAAGUCUGAUGCAGCAACGCCGCGUGCGGGAUGAAGGCCUUCGGGUUGUAAACCGCUUUCACCAGGGGCGAAUUUGACGGUACCUGGAGAAGAAGCACCGGCUAACUACGUGCCAGCAGCCGCCGUAACAC
rnacentral:rRNA from 1 species